rnacentral:rRNA from 1 species
GAUGAACGCUGGCGGCGUGCCUAAUACAUGCAAGUCGAACGAAACUUCUUUAUCACCGAGUGCUUGCACUCACCGAUAAAGAGUUGAGUGGCGAACGGGUGAGUAACACGUGGGCAACCUGCCCAAAAGAGGGGGAUAACACUUGGAAACAGGUGCUAAUACCGCAUAACCAUAGUUACCGCAUGGUAACUAUGUAAAAGGUGGCUAUACUACCGCUUUUGGAUGGGCCCGCGGCGCAUUAGCUAGUUGGUAGGGUAAAGGCUUACCAAGGCAAUGAUGCGUAUCCGAAGUGAGAGGUGGAUCGGCCACAUUGGGAGUGGGACACGGCCCAAACUCCUACGGGACGCAGCAGUAGGGAAUCUUCCACAAUGGGCGAAAGCCUGAUGGAGCAACGCCGCGUGGGUGAAGAAGGUCUUCGGAUCGUAAAACCCUGUUGUUAGAGAAGAAAGUGCGUGAGAGUAACUGUUCACGUUUCGACGGUAUCUAACCAGAAAGCCACUGCUAACUACGUG